rnacentral:rRNA from 1 species
UACAGAGGUCCCAAGCGUUGUUCGGAUUCACUGGGCGUAAAGGGUGCGUAGGCGGUCGGAUAAGUCUGACGUGAAAUCCUGGAGCUCAACUCCGGAACUGCGUCGGAAACUAUUCGGCUAGAGGAUUGGAGAGGGGACUGGAAUUCUCGGUGUAGCAGUGAAAUGCGUAGAUAUCGAGAGGAACACCCGUGGCGAAGGCGAGUCCCUGGACAAUUCCUGACGCUGAGGCACGAAAGCUAGGGGAGCAAACAGG